ensembl:lncRNA
GAGGCAGGAGGGGCGGUUAACCACCAAUCGGCUAGCUCUGGCCACCUCAAAAAGCAGCAGGGACAAGGAUGGCAGCAGAAGCCAGAGGCCUCUCGGGUCACGGUGGGGGUGCAUACUGUCACUGGAGUGCGCGAGGAAGGCCACAAGGAAGAUCUGGGAGACAUCAAGCGUUCCGGACAUUGUGAAAGUUUCCCUUUAAGUUACGAUGGGAAUCCUGAACAACGCCGUUUGGAGCCCUCGGCAGGUAGCAUGGAAAGGCUGAUUUUUAAAAAAAAAACUUAUAAACAGACAUUUGUUUCUCACCAGUUCCAGGAACCUGUAAGUCCGAGAUCAGGGUGCCUGCAUGGUUCAGUUCUGGUGAGGGGCUCUUUCAGGUUGCAGACUGCUGACUCCUCCUUGUGUCCUCACAUGGUAGAGAGCACAGACAGCUGCUGAUUUAUUUUCUAUUCAUAAUGUAUGUUUGACAUAUUUGAUGAAACUGAGUUCACUUUCAUUUCAGAUAAUAAAAGCCAUAUUCUAGCAGGAAUAGUAAGUAAUAAAUAGCUUCUGUUCUAGCAGGAAUCAAUGUUUAGGUUUUUUGUUUUUUUAAGACAGGAUCUUGCUCUGUCAUCCAGGCUGUAAUACAGUAGGAUCAUGACUCACUGUAACCUCUGCCUCCUCGGCUCAUGUGAUCCUCCCGCCUCAGCCUCCCAAGUAGCUGGGAACACAGGCACUUACCACCACACCAAGCUAAAAUUUUUGUAUUUUUUAUAGAGAUGGGGAGUCAUCAUGUUGUCCAGGCUGGUCUUGAACUCCUGGCUGCAAGUGAUCCACCUGCUUAGGCCUCCCAAAGUCUCGGGAUUACAAGUGUGAGCCACGGUGCCCAGCCAAUGUUUUAUUUUUUAUUUUGAAAUAAUUUCAAAACCAUUGAUUGGGUAAGAACCUACAAAGAAUUGCCAUAUACCCUUCUCCCAAGUUCUUCACUGUCACCAUUUUAACACAUUUUUCAUUUUUGCCUUAUUAAUUUCUCUGUAGAGGCACAUAUAUGUAUGUGUAUAUACACACAUUAAUUUUUUCCUAAGCCAUUUACUGAGUCUAAGUUGCAGAAAUGAUGCCCACUACUCCAAAACAGUUCAGUGUGUAUUACCUAAAAAAAAGAGGCUCUCAUUUAUAACCAGUCUAUCUAUGAAAAUCAGAAUUUAACACUGAUUCAUUACUAUCACCUAAUCCAGACCCCAAAUUUCACUGAUUGUUCUGACAAUAUUCUUUGAACAAAAUAAAUACAAGGCCUUCUUAUUUCCCUUUUUCCUUUCUUGUCCAGGAUGCAAUAUGGAAUCACACAUUGCACACAGUUGUCAUGUCACUUUGGUCUCUUUCAGUCUGGAAUCUUGUUUAGGUUUUCCUUAUCUUUCAUGAUCUUGUCAUUUCUGAAGAGUACAGGCCAGUUACUUUGUAGAAUUAUUGAAAUCUGGGUUUAUGUAUAGUUUUAGCAUGAUUAGAUUUGGGUGGUACAUAUUAGAUAACUAUUUUAGAUUAGAUUAUGUAGGAAAUGCUUUUAUAUUCUUCUCAGUGCCUCAGGAGGCAUGUAAUUUGAAUUUAUUUUUUCUUUCCUGUUUUUAAUUUUGUAGAGACGGGGAUCUUCUUUUGUGACCAGGCUGGUCUCGAACUCCUGGGCUGAAGUGAUCCUCCUGGCUCAGCUUCCCAAAAUGUUGGGAUUACAGGUGUGAACCUAUAGAUUUAAUUCAUCCUACUAUUAGUGAUUUUUAACUUUUACCACUUGAAUAAGGUGCUGUUGGCUGAGGGUGCUGGACAAUUACCCCCUAGCUCCUGGUGUCACCAACUGCACUGGCUGAGCCAGCCAUGCUAGCCACAAACCCCUGGUGGUGACCAAGGGAAAUGGGUAUAUAUAUUUUUUAUUUUGCCGUCAUGGAUUUAUAAGGUAAGAAGGAGGAGGAUAAGGAAGAUAAAGUAUAUUUAAUUUAACACGUUAUUUGUUUCAUAACUUAUUUUUUUGGAUUUUAUUUUUUAUAGAGACAGGGUCUCACUAUGUUUCCCAGGCUGGUCUCGAACUCUUAGGUUUAAGUGAUUUUUCUGCCUUGGCCUCCCAAAGUGCAGGGAUUACAGGCAUGACUCACCACAUCCAGCUUGCUUCAUGACUUCUAAAUAUUCAGAUGAAUGGUAUGUGGGUCUUCCUAUGAACCCUUGCCCUAAAACAUGCAAAAGUUAGGAGUGGGCCUGUUUCCAGGCAGACUUUCCUUCCUGAUGCUUCUGCCUCCAAUGUAAGCAGGGCCUGACCAAGACAUGUAGUACCUUUGGUAGGCUAAUAACUUGAUAAUCCACCAAAAUGAAGGUUUUAAAGUAUUUUCUACAAAUACAAAUUGAAUACCUCUUUCUUUACACUUUUUAGGGCAGCUCUGCAAAAAUAGAAUCACACUUCCUGUGAGAAGUAUUUGAAGUUUUCUUUUCUAGAUCUCUGUUGACAUCCGCCAUAGUGGACUCUGUUUAUUUUUCCUAUUAUAUAAGGAAUUACAAGUUGGAAUCAAAGGUAAUUGGCAUC